rnacentral:rRNA from 1 species
AUUGAACGCUGGCGGCAGGCCUAACACAUGCAAGUCGAACGGUAACAGGAAGCAGCUUGCUGCUUCGCUGACGAGUGGCGGACGGGUGAGUAAUGUCUGGGAAACUGCCUGAUGGAGGGGGAUAACUACUGGAAACGGUAGCUAAUACCGCAUAACGUCGCAAGACAAAAGAGGUGGACCUUAGGGCCUCUUGCCAUCGGAUGUGCCCAGAUGGGAUUAGCUAGUAGGUGGGGUAACGGCUCACCUAGGCGACGAUCCCUAGCUGGUCUGAGAGGAUGACCAGCCACACUGGAACUGAGACACGGUCCAGACUCCUACGGGAGGCAGCAGUGGGGAAUAUUGCACAAUGGGCGCAAGCCUGAUGCAGCCAUGCCGCGUGUAUGAAGAAGGCCUUCGGGUUGUAAAGUACUUUCAGCGGGGAGGAAGGGAGUAAAGUUAAUACCUUUGCUCAUUGACGUUACCCGCAGAAGAAGCACCGGCUAACUCCGUG